CCUACGGGUGGCAGCAGUGGGGAAUAUUGGACAAUGGGCGAAAGCCUGAUCCAGCCAUGCCGCGUGUGUGAAGAAGGCCUUCGGGUUGUAAAGCACUUUCAGUGGGGAAGAAAGCCUUGGGGCUAAUACCCUCGAGGAAGGACAUCACCCACAGAAGAAGCACCGGCUAACUCCGUGCCAGCAGCCGCGGUAAUACGGAGGGUGCGAGCGUUAAUCGGAAUUACUGGGCGUAAAGCGCGCGUAGGCGGUCUGAUAAGCCGGUUGUGAAAGCCCCGGGCUCAACCUGGGAACGGCAUCCGGAACUGGCAGGCUAGAGUGCAGGAGAGGAAGGUAGAAUUCCCGGUGUAGCGGUGGAAUGCGUAGAGAUCGGGAGGAAUACCAGUGGCGAAGGCGGCCUUCUGGACUGACACUGACGCUGAGGUGCGAAAGCGUGGGUAGCAAACAGGAUUAGAUACCCCAGUAGUC
rnacentral:rRNA from 1 species